rnacentral:misc_RNA from 1 species
CACAUUUUGCAAUUGCGUCGAACUCCUUGAGGUAUCACUCAUUUCAAGAUUUGAGGAAAAUUUAUAUUCUCACUCCGCUGCCAGAGUCUCAGCCACCGGUUUAACCUGGUCUUGCUUGUCAAGUUGGCUAAAAUUUCCCUUCUCCUUAAAGAGUUGGUUGUGAUGGUGCCUACAAUAGAGACGAUGCUCAUGGGCUACAUAGUUUGAUGGGCUGAUUACACAGCCUCCAUGAGCGCACCUGAAACAUGCCUUGUGAUAUGAUGUCCCGUCGACUGCCACCUUUUCAAGGGGAUAAACUGUUUUCUUGCAAGCAACACAUUUAUCCUGAGUUCCAGCAAACAUGCUUGAAACUUUGGUGUUGCUAUGGACCUGAUCGGCAGAUCUGUUAACAGUUUUAGGAGUGCCUUCAAAGCUUUUAUCCAAGCUUCCAGUCAUCUUAAAUAGUUGAUCAAAGUGUGGCUUGCAAUACAAAACACCUUCAAAGGAGGAGUAAUUACUCAGCUUAAGGGUACCCUUACAGUGGUGGCACCUAAAACAAGCCUUGUGAUAGACUUUGUUGUCAGCAGUAAGCUGAUCCACCAAGUACACAGUCUUCUCACAUGCCUUACACUUCUGGGUUGUCCCUGCAAAUGUUGCCAUAUUUGAUCAAUCUCUCUCCCUCUCGGUAUCUUCAACACUGCCAAAUAGAUAUCAACUGAAUCGAGAGAAACUCUGCAGCGUCUUCUUGAGAUGAUUUGGUGAUAAAGAGAAGACUUUCAAAAUUCCGAGAUUCACAGCUCAGAGAUAAAUACAGGACUCUUUUUUUUUUUUUU